CCGCAGAGACUUUGAGGCUAAACUUCGCAAUUUUUACAGGAAGCUGGAGGCUAAAGGUUACGGCCAGGGACCAGGAAAAAUCAAGCUCAUCAUCAGAAGGGAACAUCUACUGGAAGGCACCUUUAAUCAAGUUAUGGCCUACUCACGCAAAGAGCUCCAGAGAAACAAGCUCUACAUCACCUUUGUAGGAGAGGAAGGUUUGGAUUACAGCGGCCCAUCGCGGGAGUUCUUC